rnacentral:tRNA from 1 species
AAAUACUUCAAUAAAGGUUAAACUCCUUUUCUUAGCA